GACGAACGCUGGCGGCGUGCUUAACACAUGCAAGUCGAACGGAAAGGCCCUUCGGGGUACUCGAGUGGCGAACGGGUGAGUAACACGUGGGUGAUCUGCCCUGCACCUUGGGAUAAGCCUGGGAAACUGGGUCUAAUACCGAAUAGGACCACGCGCUUCAUGGUGUGUGGUGGAAAGCUUUUGCGGUGUGGGAUGGGCCCGCGGCCUAUCAGCUUGUUGGUGGGGUAAUGGCCUACCAAGGCGACGACGGGUAGCCGGCCUGAGAGGGUGACCGGCCACACUGGGACUGAGAUACGGCCCAGACUCCUACGGGAGGCAGCAGUGGGGAAUAUUGCACAAUGGGCGCAAGCCUGAUGCAGCGACGCCGCGUGAGGGAUGACGGCCUUCGGGUUGUAAACCUCUUUCAAUAGGGACGAAGCGCAAGUGACGGUACCUAUAGAAGAAGCACCGGCCAACUACGUG
rnacentral:rRNA from 1 species